rnacentral:tRNA from 1 species
GCAUUGAUGGUGUAGCGGUAACAUGUGGUCUUCCCAUGGUCACUGUGGCCGCGCUCCGAGUUCGACUCUCGGUCAAUGCA